UCAACAUCUGAAUUUUGGAGGAGGGCACAAUUUCACCUGUGACUAUAGAUAAGUGGAAUCUUGAGAAAAGUCAGGUUAAGUAAGAUUAAACAGAUUUUUUUUUCUUUAAGGCCUCUGUGGAGGUUUUACAACUUAGCUGCAAAAUUUCUCACACCCUUCCUGUUGAGAGGUGGGGACUUUGUCCCCUCCCCUGGAAUCUGAGAGCUGCAGAGUAUGGUGGAAGUGACUUUGUGUGACAUCCUAGGCUACAUCAUAAAAGAACAUAUACCACUUCAACCUUGUUUCCUGGAACAUGGAACCACCCUGUUCUGACAGGCACAGGUGUACUCCCUGGCCAGUAGUCCCAGCUGAGCCCACCCUUCUGGGUGUCCUGCCAAGGUGCCAGACAGCUUCCAUGUUGAGUUAUUCCAUGGAGAGGCCCAAGGAAUGAAGAGUGUGGCCUCUGGCCAACAGCCUCCAACAACCAUGUGAGUGAGCUUGAAAGUGGAUCCUUCUAUAGUCUAGUCUUCAGAUGAGAUCACAGCCCAACUGAUACCUUGACUGCAAUCUGAACACAGCAGAAGUGACGCCAUGCCUUUCCCAUGCCUGGGCUCAAGAGACCCUGCACAAUAAUGUUGGCCGUUCUCUUAGGACCCUCCUGCUCCUCCAUGCACAAACCCGUGGGUAGGAUGAGAGGUCGUGUGGAGAAAUACUGAGUCAGCCCAGUUGCCCCAGGCAAGCGAGGCAGCCCAACCAAGAACAGCAAAAUGCCACCUACCUGACCACGGGGACAUGUAUGAACUCAGCCAUACUCAGCUCAGAUGACUGGAAGUGCCCAGCUGACCCACUGACAUGCGAUUAAAAAUUGUCAUGAUAUGCCA